rnacentral:rRNA from 1 species
UACGUAGGGUGCAAGCGUUGUCCGGAAUUAUUGGGCGUAAAGAGCUCGUAGGCGGCUUGUCGCGUCGACUGUGAAAACCCGCGGCUCAACCGCGGGCCUGCAGCCGAUACGGGCAGGCUAGAGUUCGGUAGGGGAGACUGGAAUUCCUGGUGUAGCGGUGAAAUGCGUAGAUAUCUGGAGGAACACCGGUGGCGAAGGCGGCAUCCUGGAGCCGACACUGACGCUGAGGAGCGAAAGCCAGGGGAGCAAACGGG